rnacentral:rRNA from 1 species
UACGGGGGGAGCAAGCGUUGUUCGGAUUUACUGGGCGUAAAGGGCGCGUAGGCGGUCGUGACAAGUCACUUGUGAAACCUCCGGGCUUAACUCGGAACGGUCAAGUGAUACUGUCGGACUAGAGUACAGAAGGGGCAACUGGAAUUCUCGGUGUAGCGGUGAAAUGCGUAGAUAUCGAGAGGAACACCUGCGGCGAAGGCGGGUUGCUGGGCUGAUACUGACGCUGAGGCGCGAAAGCCAGGGGAGCGAACGGG